GCCCCAGUAGCUCAGCGGUAGAGCGACCGCCUCGUAAGCGGUAGGUCGUGGGUUCAACUCCCAUCUGGGGCU
rnacentral:tRNA from 1 species